UUUGACCUCGGAUCAGGUAGGGGUACCCGCAA
rnacentral:rRNA from 1 species